AAACUGCGAUAAGUAGUGUGAAUUGCAUUUAGUGAAUCAUCGAAUCUUUGAACGCACCUUGCACUCACUGGUAUUCCGGUGAGUACGCCUGUUUCAGUAUCAUUGAAAACACACAAUCAAAACAUUUUCUUUGGUUUGAUUGGCUUUGGGUCUAUCAAAAAGUUUGGCUUGUUUCUUACAAGCCAAGCGGCCUGAAAUAUAUUGUCUGGCUAAUUGCAUCGUUGAUGAUCGCUAUUAGACUUUGGCUUUUUUAAAUGAACUGGAGGUUGAUUAACCAGUUUUAGCUUUAGUCAAAUGGUCAUUGUAAAAAAAAUCUCGAUCUUGGCUAGGUGUUUAUAGCCGAAAAUUUUUUUUUGGUUAUAACCGAAACCAAUAUAAUCACAUUUAGUUAUCGAUCUGAAAUCAGGUGGGACUACCCGCUGAACUUAAGC
rnacentral:misc_RNA from 1 species